AAAAAAAAAAAAAAAACACUGUUUGAAAGAAAUGUAGAAAGAUCAACGCAGAAUAAUAGGAAACAAAAAAUAAAAGCUAGGGUUUGAAGGCCUAAAAAAGGGAGUCCAUGGGAAGUUACAGAGAGAACAGACAGUUUGUCUGUGAGUUUCUCUGGAUUAUUUCCUUCUGUUUGGAGGUUAGUUUAGCGACGAAGCCAAUAUUUUAGAGAGAAUAUGGAGGGAAAAAAAAAUAAAAAGGAAUCCAAACAACGAAAUAAAUGCUUUAUUGAAUCUUUCGGUCUAAAUUUAUUUAUUUUAUUUUAAUUUCUUAAAGUUUGUUGCUGGUAACGGAUUUGGUCAUGGACGGCGUUGAUGGAUUGUGCUUUAAACAAAAGGCAAACAGCAAGAAACAGGUACUCAG
rnacentral:misc_RNA from 1 species